rnacentral:rRNA from 1 species
AAAUGAAUAGACGGGGGCCCGCACAAGCAGCGGAGCAUGUGGUUUAAUUCGAAGCAACGCGAAGAACCUUACCAAGGCUUGACAUCCCACUAAACUCAUGGAAACAUGAGGUGGCUUCGGCCAAGUGGAGACAGGUGGUGCAUGGUUGUCGUCAGCUCGUGUCGUGAGAUGUUGGGUUAAGUCCCGCAACGAGCGCAACCCUUGCCGCCAGUUACCAGCAAGUAAAGUUGGGGACUCUGGCGGGACUGCCGGGGAUAACUCGGAGGAAGGUGGGGACGACGUCAAAUCAUCAUGCCCCUUAUGUCUUGGGCUACACACGUGCUACAAUGGCUGUAACAAAGGGAAGCGACAUCGUAAGGUGAAGCAAAUCUCAGAAAAACAGUCUCAGUUCGGAUUGUGGGCUGCAACCCGCCCACAUGAAGUCGGAGUUGCUAGUAAUCGCGGAUCAGCAUGCCGCGGUGAAUGCGUUCCCGGGCCUUGCACACACCGCCCGU